rnacentral:piRNA from 1 species
UACACACACACAUACACACUCU